rnacentral:lncRNA from 1 species
UCAGGGCUGCUCGCUCUUCUUUUGCAGCUGUCACAGGACUCCUCUCUAGCAUUCACCAGCACUGACCACAAAGCCCCAGAUCCACUCUUUCUGGAAGUCACAAUUCAUCAAACAUUUCUUGAGCCACUCCAUUAUGCAAGACCCUAGGCUGGGUUCUAGGAAGACAGAUUGAAGAAGGAUAGGGGAGAAACGUGGCCCCUGCACUCACAGAGCUUAUAGUCUGAAUUGGGUCUUGGAACAGAAGUUUCACACUGGAUCAAUGAUAGGAGGAACACACAUGAUUUUGAUGCUGCUUCUCUAGGGAUCCUGAAGCUAGCCAGUCCCUUUGGAGUCUGUUCCUCUUUUCAAGUACAACCAUAAUCAAAAAUUCAGAAUUGGAAGGCAUCUUUGAAACCAAAGACAAUUCGACAUCAAUUAUAUAUGUGCCACUCCUGAUGUCUGGAAGACCCACCUCUUGAUCAGAGCGAGGUCAGAGUCCUUCAGUUGGAGAAGCUUUGAAAGGAACAUCCUAAGAAGCAUAAAAGUGAAUCACGAGAGGAAGAGAAGUCUUUAUUUCUGGGAACUGGGAGUGAGAAGGAUGUUUGAACAGAGCUCCUGGGCUUGGAGGAGACUUGUGAAGGGAAAGCUGGCAACCUCUGCCUGGUGCCUUUUCCUUCUCUGCCUGCUUUUUGUUAUUUAAUAAAUAAUUAAAAAUUAAGCUACAGUCUCCAG